rnacentral:lncRNA from 1 species
GCAUUAGGUGUCUUUGCCAAUAUCUCUUCAGCCUUCUGAACAGCCCCAUUUAUGCCCCUGGCAGGAUCAGUAAGGAUCAACUCAGCUCCAAAAGCAAGGAGAACCAUUCUUCUCUCUAGACUCAUUGAUGCAGGCAUGGUAAUGAUCAGUCUGUAGCCCUUAGCAGCUGCCAUGAAUGCCAGCCCUAUGCCAGUGUUGCCACUCGUAGGCUCAAUCAGGACACUCUUCAGCAUUAAGAAAGAAAACCAUGUCAACACGCGAGUUCCUUUGUAAUGACAUUCGCGCUAUUUUGUAAGCAAUGAACAGAAAACGGAUCAGUUGACUGUCAAUGUCUGGACUAGGUCAUUACAAGGGUUGGCAACUAAUAAUUAAAUAUCCAUUAAUGUAUCAUACCUGCCAGCAGAAAAUGAUUUUCUGAUGCAACGAAGUCUUAAGCCAAGACAUGUAUUGAUCAAUUUUCAAUAGCUAUAUAUAACAUAUCACUCAAUUUCAAAGCAAAACAACCCAACUUGGACUUAAAAUUCAUGUAUCGUAUCUGUUCAAGUAGGAUUGAAUCACCAACCUCGCCCGGCUUGAUUAGACCCUUCUCCUCUGCAUCUUUGAUCAUACUAUACCCAAUCCUACAAACAAGGGAAGAAAGACAAGAAGAAGAAUUUCAAGCUGAGCAAACCAAAAUCUCAUUAAUGAUGAUGUUCUAAAGGCCCCAUUGUUACUUGUUGAGCAAAUCCAAUUCCAGCUUUGGAUUCAGAAACACAUUUGAAGUACCCGGAAACAGAAACAUAUUAAAUUUCGACAGCAAAGGAAGAUUUUCGGCCUUGGCAACCAAAUAAACCUGAUCGUAGCCAAGUUAAUAUAUAAAGCAUACCGAUCUCAACUUUCCAACAAAGAACAACAGAAAUCUAACUAAUACCUAUCUUUGACACUUGAGCAAGGUUCCAUCAUCUCCAGCUUGGCAGCAAUACGCGCCACACAACCAUCCACAACAUUGUUGAGAUACACCAAUGGUGUUUUACCGAUAAGCUAUAUUGGACCAAGUACAAAAGAAUAUAUAAGCCAGGGCUCCCAUAUCAAAGCACCUCAAGAACAAAUUCAACAAUUUUUGAAAUGGCAAUGGAGUCAACUUACUUCAGUAACAUCUUUGGCAAUUGAACCCUUCUCCUCUGCCAUUUUUUGUUCCGGUUACUGCACAAGCAUAGAACACACGGAGUGAUCAACAACAAAAAAACAAGCUAAAAAGGACAAACCUUUACAGAAAAAAUAGCAGAUACUGCAACCAUUUGAACAAUUCACCAAAACACAAUUUAGUUUAUAAGGAAAUGAUUCAGGAACUCCAAGUUUCAAUUGCGACACUCUUGCACCCACAAAAACAAACAUUAUAAACCAAAAAAAUAUAUAGCAUCAACCCAGAAAAAAAGAAUUCUCUCCUCAUGGCCCAUGGGAGUGCGACGUAAAUGAAAGUUGAUCAAAAUUUAUUUAUUUCUGUUUAAAAUUUAUUUUUUUAUUUUUGAAUGGUUUUAAUGUGUUUUUUCAAAAUUAAAACUUAGAAAAAAUUAAAAAAAUAUAUUAUUUUUAUAUAUUUUGAAAACAAAAAAGAUACAACACUCACGUGCACCGACAAACCCUUCACCAAAAUCCAUGAACUGAUGAACAACUAAACCUUGUAGAAUCCAGCAUCAACACAUAUAAUAUCAAAGAGUAAAAAUUAAGAAAAGCAAUACAUCAAACCUUGAGAUUCUUGAACUUUAAACAAUGUAAGUUUCCAAGCUAAAAUCUUUCUUUCAAGAAAAAACAGAGAAAUGAAAGAAAGUCAGAUAUUCGAUGGACUUCAAGGAGCCUUAAGAGAACUUACCAAGAAAUCCUUUUCUAUCUAUAUAUAGAGAGAACAAGGAGAGUAGGGAGCUUCUUGCAAUGAAAGAGCAAUAGUAGCUGGCUGAUAUAUACUGAUCUUUUAGCAUAUUUUUUAUACAAAUUUAUUUUAAAUUAAUUUUUGUAAGUGUAGUUGUCAAAGGUUUAGCUUCUAGUGUGAUUGUCAAAGUGAAGCUUUUGACCUGACCAAUCUUGUCUUCGUUCGUAACAGGUAAUUCCACUCGUCUUUGUUUUUGUCCUUUCCAUCUUCUUUUUUACGUCAUUAUUGAUUAUCUUAAAUAAAAAUGGGUCUUUUAAUGGUGGACUUUUCUUUGAUGGGUGCCCUUAGCAUCAUCAAUACUAAACUUGUCCUGCACGACGGAUAGACUUGGGAUUCAUCUUCGCAGAGAAAGAAUUAUAAUGAUUAUGAAUAAAAAAGAAAAAAGAGAUCGAUUAGAUGUUUUAAGAUAUUUAUUUAUUUUUUAUAUUUUGAGAUUGUCAUAGUUCAAAUUUAUUGAUUUUUUUAAAUAUGUUUGAUAUUUUAAAAAAAUUAUUAUUAAUAUUUAAAUUGAUUUAAGAGUAUCCCUUAUUGUUGGAAAAGAAAAAAUAUAAUUACCCACUGACAGCUUAUUGUUAAUUAUCAAGAAGAUGUAUCUCCUUUGAUUACAGGAUUCGCUCUAGAGUAUUUUAUAUAUAUAUAUAUAUAUAUAUAUAUAUAUAUAUAUAUAUAUAUAUAAUUGCUUUGGUGAUAGGAUCAUUAUCAUUUUAAAUUUAUUAAAAAAAUUAAAUACAUAAAAAACCAUAUAAAAUGUAUAUAUUUAAAAUAACUUGACUUUAGCUAAUGUUUAGGCCAGGAGUGUUAAUGAAUAUAGCAAGUCAUAUUUGGAUUUAUAAUUUUAUUCAGUUUAAUUUUUAAUAUUUUAUAAAUUAUAAACUCAAUUUAUCUAGAAGAAAGUUUGAAUUUGAACGAGCUAAAUAUAUCAGGCUGGAUUAAAUUUUUUAUAAAUAUUAUAAAUAUUUAUAAGUUGGAUUUAUAUUAUUAAUUUUUAUGAGUUAUACUCAAUUGGAAUACCUUGCACCCACAAAAACUAUCAUUAUAAACCAAAAAAUAUACAGCAUCAAUCUAGAAAAAAAAAAAUUCUCUCCUCAUGAUUCCUGUUUAAGAGUGCGGCUCAAAUGCAAGUUAAUCAAAAUUUAUUUUUUAUUUAAAAUUAAUUAUUUUUUGAUAUUUUGAAUUGUUCUGAUAUUUUAUUGUCAAAAAUAAAUAUUAAAAAAUAAAAAAUAUAUUAUUUUAAUAUAUUUUUAAAUAAAAAAUACUUUAAAAAACAAAAACAACAACAUUCACAAUCACUCCCCAAACCCUUCACCAAAAUCCAUGAACCGAUGAACAACUAAACCUUCUAGAAUCCAGCAUCAACACAUAUAACAUCAAAGAGUAAAAACUGAGAAAAGCUAUACAUCAAACCUUGAGAUUCUUGAACUUCAAACUAUGUAACUUCCAAGCUAAAAUCUUUCCUACAAGAAAAAACAGAGAAAUGAAAGAAAGUCAGAUAUUCGAUGGACUUAAGAGAACUUGCCAAGAAAUCCUUGAGAGAGAACAAGGAAAGUAUGAAGCUUCUUGCACGAAAGAGCAAUAGUAGCUGGCUCAUCUUUUAGCAUAUUUUUUCUACAAAUUUAUUUUAAAUUAAUUUUCCUCGUCCGGCUAUUUUCAGUAUCGUUCUUGUUUAUAUAUAUAUAUAUUGUAUGUAUUUGUGAAGUGUAGUUGUCAAAGGUUUAGCUUCUAGUGUGAUUGUCAGAGUGAAGCUUUUGACCUGACCUGUCUUGUCUUUGUUCGUAACAGGUAAUUCCACUUGUCUUCGAUUUUGCCUUUUCCUUCUCUUUUUUGACGUCAUUAUUGAUUAUCUUAAAUAAAAAUGGGUCUUUUAAUGGUGGACUUUCCUCUGAUCUGUGUCCUUAGCAUCAUGAAUACUAAACUUGUCUUGCACGACGGAUAGACUUGGGAUUCAGCCGAUCAGGUUUCAGAUUUUCAGUAACAGUGACCGAUUGGGAUUGCGAUUACUUAUGUUUUUAAAUGUUUUUUAAAAGUGUUUUUAUUUUAAAAUAUUUUAAAAUAAUCUUUUUAAUUUUUUUUUACUUUUAAUAAAAGCUUAUCAAAAUAAUUAUAAAGCAAUUAAAAAAAAUUAAUUUAAUAAAAAUAAAUAUACUUAUGAAAUCUAUUCAAACAUAGUUAUAAAUAUGAUGUAGAAUAGAUAUUUAUAAUUCAAGUCAGGUUUAAAAAAGAAAUUAAUUUAGAAUUAACACGGCCAAAACGCUAUUGGGCAAAAAUUGAAAAUUAUUUUUGUUUAAAAUUUAUUUUUUUAGGUUUUUUUUCUAGUUUUGAUGUGAUAAUAUCAAAAAUAAAUUUUAAAAAAUAAAAAAAAUAUUAUUUUAAUAUAUUUUUUAACAAAAAAAUACUUUGAAAAGUAAGAUGUACCACAAUAACAAUCACUACCUUAAUUGACAUGGUUAAAAUUAAAAAAAAUAUAUUUAAAACAAUGUUGUUAUUUAUUAUUCUAGGUUUACUUACGCAACCAAUAAAUCAAUAAACCAAAUCUUAAGUUGGGUCGGAUUUAAAUAAUUUUCUUCUCAUACAUGUUAUAUAUAUGAGAUCACAUCUAAUGACUAUCAUUAGAAGUUGAUAUGGUUUCAAUGACUAUUUUAAAGCAAAUUAAAAACUUCUGAAAUAAUUAAAUAAAACUAAAAAUUAAGUUCUGUCUCAUCCACAUCUAUAUCUAUAUGUGUGUGUGUGUGUGUUUUUGCAGACCUUGGAUUUAAAUUUUAAUAAUUAAUAUUGAUUCCCUUCAAGUAUGGCAUUAUCUCUUAAAUAGCAACUAGCAAUUAAAAACACCGUGGGCUCCGAGCCUGUUACUAUGGGCAUCCACCGAUCCCAGACUCAUCUCCGCAUAUGAAGAAUUAUAAUGAUUGUGAAUAAAAAAAGAAAAAGAAAUUGAUUUGAUGUUUAAGGAUAUUUAUUUAUUUAUUAAAUUGAUUUAAGAAUAUCCCAAUUUCUCAGAAAAUAAAAUAAAAAUUUCGUGUGGAUAUUCGCAAGUUGGACUUGUAUUACUAAUUUUUAUGAAUUAGACUUAAUUAGAACUUAUUGUUGAUGAUCAAGACGUAUCUGUUGUGGUUCUCAGGAAUCCUCUGUAGAGUGCUAUAUUAUCAUCACAGUCAGGAAUGCAUGUCACGAAGAAUUGGAUGUUGGAAACUAGCACGAUGCUUAACAGGAUUUGGAGUACACAUGAAACUGCAGAUUUUAUGGGCUAAUAAAGUGCCGUUUUAGAAAUUCAACAGACAAAUCAUCAUUUGACUGAGCUGGGAAGUAGGACAUUAGUUUGAAUUCAGCAUCAAGAAGGGAAGAGACCUUCCAUUGCUAGGUUCUCAAGCAUUUUCUGUGGAAAAGUGCUCAAGGCAUGCAUUUGAAAGAACUCUAAGAAAUGAGGGGAAAGAAACUAUAGCAUGACUCGUAUAUUCGGCUUCUAGUCCAUGGAGAAGAACAUCUUAAAAUAGAUGUUGGCAGAACAUACCAGCAAACANNNNNNNNNNNNNNNNNNNNNNNNNNNNNNNNNNNNNNNNNNNNNNNNNNNNNNNNNNNNNNNNNNNNNNNNNNNNNNNNNNNNNNNNNNNNNNNNNNNNNNNNNNNNNNNNNNNNNNNNNNNNNNNNNNNNNNNNNNNNNNNNNNNNNNNNNNNNNNNNNNNNNNNNNNNNNNNNNNNNNNNNNNNNNNNNNNNNNNNNNNNNNNNNNNUCGAUUGCCCCGUUGGAUACAUAAGUAAUUUUCUUUUUUAACUCUAUCAGCUCUUGAUGUUUGCACAACAAAUUUAAACAAGUUCCUUCCCAACAAUUGGAUUUGUAAGCAACAAGACAUUGAUGCUAAUCUGGCAAUUUGAAUCUGUAAACCAAGAUUCUACUUUGAUGCAUCCAACCUGAGAGAACCUAGCUAGGUAGAGAUGUGUAUACGCCAGCUUUAUGAUUAUUUUUCUCAUUCAAACCUCUUCUAGCUGAGACCCGUCCUAGCCUUGACUAGACUAUGUCUCAUGAGGUUUAGCCGGGUUGGUUAUGUUUCAUAUCUGGUUAAACUAAGGAUUAGCAGGCGCAUGCAUGGGUUUUAACUUUUAACAGUGUUUGAUGUGCCGCCAUGAAGAAGGUAGACGAUGACAUGAUGUGAAAUGCAUAAAGAAGAUUCCCACAUCGAGAAAACAUAAGACGUGGGGCAAGGCAUGGGAAUAUAAAUAGGAAGCUCAAAGCAACGGGAAACAUACUUACCUGGACGGGGUCGAUGGGCGAUCAGGAAGGUCCAUGGCCUAGGUCAGUGACGUCCAUUGCACUGAGGAUGGGUGCUGGCUUAAGGUCUCCCCAAGUGGGAGAUCCUACGUCAAAAUUUGUGGCAGAGGGGGCUGCGCAAGUCGCGGCCCCUGUCCAAUUCUAAUAUCAAACAUUUUGCUAUGAGUCUUUCUAAUUUGAAGCCUCAUCUGAACUUGUUCGGCGCCGGAGAUAGUAGCUGAGGCUCCGAGCAUUGAGAGUAGAUGUUGCGUUGAUCAUAGAAACAUUGGACACUUGAAGAAAUGCGAUGCCUGAGAUAUCGAUCAGGAAUAAUUAAUUAAGACCAAAAAAGAAGUCUGUCUCAUCCACCUGCAUAUAUAUCUGUGUGUUUUUUGUGAUGUGAUAAUGUCUAACAGCUUUUCUUCUUCUUUUUUGCAGACCUUGGAUUUAAAUUUUAAUAAUGGGUGUGCUUGGAUGAAAAUAAUUUUUAAAAUAAAAAAUUAUUAAAUUCAAUGAAAAUAAAGAAAUUCAAGAUCCAAAUUGCAUAUUGGCUAGUUAACUUAAUUAACUCUUUUUUUUUUUUUUAUCGAUUUUCUUAUCUCUAGUUUCACAACAUUAUGAUUAAGUUUUUAAUAACAUAAUAUACUAUCAACGGGACUUUGUUUGAUCUCACAACACUAUGAUUAAAGUUUCUUAAUCCAUCGCACAAGCCCUUUGUUAAUAUAUACAGAUACACAGAGCAGAAAAGCCUCCGCAUCAGGCUCCUAUAAGCCAUGCUCUCCACCUCAAGGCACAAAAACCAUGUUCUCCGCCUCCUUCUUCACCGAUUCGAAAAGCACGGAGGAUAGGUAACGCUCCCCAAAGCUAGGGAAGAUCGUCUGUUUACAUUAGAAAAAAUGGUAAGACGCACAGAACAAAACACCAACAAAGGCCAAGCACUAGAAGGUAUUCAGAAAGAUACGGCAUGUGCUAAACGCAAUGCUGCUAAGCUUUGCCAAAGAAUAUGGUACUUAUCAUCACUAUUACCGUGCUUGAAGAUUUUCUAUCACCUAUAAUCGUUCAAGAACAUUCAUUAUUUGAAUAGAUAAUUUCAUCAUAAAAAAUAUCAAGGGAAAUGGUUGCUAGAUUGGCAAUGAACUUUACUAUUUGGAAACAAAUUUGUUUCAUCUAAGGGAUAGCUUUGGGCAGCAGGCUCACUAGCAAGUUGCAGAUGGAUCUACUUCAAAAGGAAGAAAAUCAAACUUACAACAAUGAGUUUUCCAGCAUUUUCAGGCCUCUUUGCUAUCUCAAUGGCAGCAGCUGCAGCAGCUCCAGAUGAUAUCCCCACCUGAAAUCCAAAUGAUGCCCUCAAAAGAAUUCUUGAUUAAAGUCAAACCCAGAAAAUAUGAUCCAGUUAACAGAGUGGAGUGCUGUAGAGUUCUGGGUUCCUUCUUGCAACAAAUAUCAAAUAAUUGUAAGCUUACCAGCAAUCCUUCUUUCAAGGCAAGAAGCUUUGCAGUUUCAAUGGCUUCUUCACUUGAUAUCUGCAAAGUCAUAUAACGAUCCAGUCUCUCAGGUAGCAGCGCAGCAAGGCAAUAAAAAGGAAGAAACAAAAAACAAACGGUAUUUUCUCUUAAGGAAUAAAUCAGAGCAUGCGACAAAGAUUAGACUUGAGGAACUUGGAUUUGUAUAAGAUGGAGUAGGAAUACGUUUUGGGAAUUAUGUAAGAGAACACAGACUUACUUGAACAGUUUCAUCAAGUAAACCGACAUCCAAAACCGCAGGGAUGAAGCCAGCGCCAAUUCCCUGGAUCUUAUGUGGACCUUGGAUCCAUUCCAGAAAACAAUGAUAUGUUAGUCCAAUCAUGAAUACAUGGAAAAGGCAGCUGCUUCAAGAGGACAGAAUCAUAUGGGACAUGUCCAAUUGUGAAAAAUGUUGUGCAAGGUUUUGAAUAUUUAUCUUAAAGGAAUGCAAGACAGAUGGCUUAGAAGUUCCAACAACAAUUGGGAAAUUAUUCCAACAUAAAACAACAUAACUCCUAAUGCAUAUACUUUGCUAAUCCGACACAGUAAAAGUCCAAAAGAUUAGACCAGGAUCCUAUAUCCAUAGAAUCAGUGAGCUCUAUUAUUUGUUUUAGUCGUAUGAAAAAGGUUGCAAAACUCUAAUCACUGUUUAAUUGGACUGUAUAGUUUGUGAUCAAGUUUAUAACAUUUGAAUUGUAGGUUCUUGGAAAAGAACGAAAGCAAAUGAAUGUCCAAGAAACCAUGACUCACCAGGUUUCCCUCCAGACAACACUGCACUUUCAACUGGUUCUACACCAUAAAUCUAAACACGAAAAGGAAAGAACAAACGCCAAGAUAAGAAACAAUAAAGAAACUAGCAAUACCAAAAAAAAAAAUGACUUCCACUCCAAAUCAAGCAAUGCGGAGAAGUGAACCUUUAUAUCAGGGUUUUGUUCCUUGAGAUACUUCGCUGCACCUGUUAUUGUUCCCCCAGUCCCUAUCCCAGAAACGAAGGCAUCAACUUUCCCACCUGACCCUUUCCACAUCUCCGGUCCAGUUGUCUCAUAGUGAAUCUGACCAGGCAACAUCAGUAUGAUUGCAAUUCUCUCAAGUCAGCAAGUCAGAAAACGUGCGAAAUGAAAACAAAUGGCACCUUCGGGUUGGCAGGAUUUUCAAAUUGUUGCAGAAUAUAAGCAUUAGGUGUCUUUGCCAAUAUCUCUUCAGCCUUCUGAACAGCCCCAUUUAUGCCCCUGGCAGGAUCAGUAAGGAUCAACUCAGCUCCAAAAGCAAGGAGAACCAUUCUUCUCUCUAGACUCAUUGAUGCAGGCAUGGUAAUGAUCAGUCUGUAGCCCUUAGCAGCUGCCAUGAAUGCCAGCCCUAUGCCAGUGUUGCCACUCGUAGGCUCAAUCAGGACACUCUUCAGCAUUAAGAAAGAAAACCAUGUCAACACGCGAGUUCCUUUGUAAUGACAUUCACGCUAUUUUGUAAGCAAUGAACAGAAAACGGAUCAGUUGACUGUCAAUGUCUGGACUAGGUCAUUACAAGGGUUGGCAACUAAUAAUUAAAUAUCCAUUAAUGUAUCAUACCUGCCAGCAGAAAAUGAUUUUCUGAUGCAACGAAGUCUUAAGCCAAGACAUGUAUUGAUCAAUUUUCAAUAGCUAUAUAUAACAUAUCACUCAAUUUCAAAGCAAAACAACCCAACUUGGACUUAAAAUUCAUGUAUCGUAUCUGUUCAAGUAGGAUUGAAUCACCAACCUCGCCCGGCUUGAUUAGACCCUUCUCCUCUGCAUCUUUGAUCAUACUAUACCCAAUCCUACAAACAAGGGAAGAAAGACAAGAAGAAGAAUUUCAAGCUGAGCAAACCAAAAUCUCAUUAAUGAUGAUGUUCUAAAGGCCCCAUUGUUACUUGUUGAGCAAAUCCAAUUCCAGCUUUGGAUUCAGAAACACAUUUGAAGUACCCGGAAACAGAAACAUAUUAAAUUUCGACAGCAAAGGAAGAUUUUCGGCCUUGGCAACCAAAUAAACCUGAUCGUAGCCAAGUUAAUAUAUAAAGCAUACCGAUCUCAACUUUCCAACAAAGAACAACAGAAAUCUAACUAAUACCUAUCUUUGACACUUGAGCAAGGUUCCAUCAUCUCCAGCUUGGCAGCAAUACGCGCCACACAACCAUCCACAACAUUGUUGAGAUACACCAAUGGUGUUUUACCGAUAAGCUAUAUUGGACCAAGUACAAAAGAAUAUAUAAGCCAGGGCUCCCAUAUCAAAGCACCUCAAGAACAAAUUCAACAAUUUUGGAAAUGGCAAUGGAGUCAACUUACUUCAGUAACAUCUUUGGCAAUUGAACCCUUCUCCUCUGCCAUUUUUUGUUCCGGUUACUGCACAAGCAUAGAACACAUGGAGUGAUCAGCGAAAAAAAAAAACAAGCUAAAAAGGACACACCUUUACAGAAAAAAUAGCAGAUACUGCAACCAUUUGAAACAUUCACCAAAACACCAUUUAAUUUAUAAGGAAAUGAUUCAGGAACUNNNNNNNNNNNNNNNNNNNNNNNNNNNNNNNNNNNNNNNNNNNNNNNNNNNNNNNNNNNNNNNNNNNNNNNNNNNNNNNNNNNNNNNNNNNNNNNNNNNNAAUUGCGACACUCUUGCACGCACAAGACCAUGCAUUAUAAACCAAAAAAAUAUAUAGCAUCAACCCAGAAAAAAAAAGAAUUCUCUCCUCAUGGCCCAUGGGAGUGCGACGUAAAUGAAAGUUGAUCAAAAUUUAUUUAUUUCUGUUUAAAAUUUAUUUUUUUAUUUUUGAAUGGUUUUAAUGUGUUUUUUCAAAAUUAAAACUUGGAAAAAAUUAAAAAAUAUAUUAUUUUUAUAUAUUUUGAAAACAAAAAAGAUACAACACUCACGUGCACCGACAAACCCUUCACCAAAAUCCAUGAACUGAUGAACAACUAAACCUUCUAGAAUCCAGCAUCAACACAUAUAAUAUCAAAGAGUAAAAAUUGAGAAAAUCUUACAUCAAGCCUCGAGAUUCUUGAACUUUAAACAAUGUAAGUUUCCAAGCUAAAAUCUUUCUUUCAAGAAAAAACAGAGAAAUGAAAGAAAGUCAGAUAUUCGAUGGACUUCAAGGAGCCUUAAGAGAACUUACCAAGAAAUCCUUACCUCUCUAUAUAUAGAGAGAACAAGGAGAGUAGGGAGCUUCUUGCAAUGAAAGAGCAAUAGUAGCUGGCUGAUAUAUACUGAUCUUUUAGCAUAUUUUUUAUACAAAUUUAUUUUAAAUUAAUUUUUGUAAGUGUAGUUGUCAAAGGUUUAGCUUCUAGUGUGAUUGUCAAAGUGAAGCUUUUGACCUGACCAAUCUUGUCUUCGUUCGUAACAGGUAAUUCCACUCGUCUUUGUUUUUGUCCUUUCCUUCUUCUUUUUUACGUCAUUAUUGAUUAUCUUAAAUAAAAAUGGGUCUUUUAAUGGUGGACUUUUCUUUGAUGGGUGCCCUUAGCAUCAUCAAUACUAAACUUGUCCUGCACGACGGAUGGACUUGGGAUUCAUCUUCGCAGAGAAAGAAUUAUAAUGAUUAUGAAUAAAAAAGAAAAAAGAGAUUGAUUAGAUGUUUUAAGAUAUUUAUUUAUUUUUUAUAUUUUGAGAUUGUCAUAGUUCAAAUUUAUUGAUUUUUUUAAAUAUGUUUGAUAUUUUAAAAAAAUUAUUAUUAAUAUUUAAAUUGAUUUAAGAGUAUCCCUUAUUGUUGGAAAAGAAAAAAUAUAAUUACCCACUGACAGCUUAUUGUUAAUUAUCAAGAAGAUGUAUCUCCUUUGAUUACAGGAUUCGCUCUAGAGUAUUUUAUAUAUAUAUAUAUAUAUAUAUAUAUAUAUAUAUAUAUAUAUAUAUAUAUAAUUGCUUUGGUGAUAGGAUCAUUAUCAUUUUAAAUUUAUUAAAAAAAUUAAAUACAUAAAAAACCAUAUAAAAUGUAUAUAUUUAAAAUAACUUGACUUUAGCUAAUGUUUAGGCCAGGAGUGUUAAUGAAAUAUAGCAAGUCAUAUUUGGGAUUUAUAAUUUUUAUUCAGUUUAAUUUUUAAUAUUUUAUAAAUUAUAAACUCAAUUUAUCUAGAAGAAAGUUUGAAUUUGAACGAGCUAAAUAUAUCAGGCUGGAUUAAAUUUUUUAUAAAUAUUAUAAAUAUUUAUAAGUUGGAUUUAUAUUACUAAUUUUUAUGAGUUAUACUCAAUUGGAAUACCUUGCACCCACAAAAACUAUCAUUAUAAACCAAAAAAUAUACAGCAUCAAUCUAGAAAAAAAACAAUUCUCUCCUCAUGCUUCCUGUUUAAGAGUGCGGCUCAAAUGCAAGUUAAUCAAAAUUUAUUUUUUAUUUAAAAUUAAUUAUUUUUUGAUAUUUUGAAUUGUUUUGAUAUUUUAUUGUCAAAAAUAAAUAUUAAAAAAUAAAAAAUAUAUUAUUUUAAUAUAUUUUUAAAUAAAAAAUACUUUAAAAAACAAAAACAACAACAUUCACAAUCACUCCCCAAACCCUUCACCAAAAUCCAUGAACCGAUGAACAACUAAACCUUCUAGAAUCCAGCAUCAACACAUAUAACAUCAAAGAGUAAAACCUGAGAAAAGCUAUACAUCAAACCUUGAGAUUCUUGAACUUCAAAGUAUGUAACUUCCAAGCUAAAAUCUUUCCUACAAGAAAAAACAGAGAAAUGAAAGAAAGUCAGAUAUUCGAUGGACUUGAGAGAUCUUGCCAAGAAAUCCUUGUCUAUCUAUAUAUAGAGAGAGAACAAGGAAAGUAUGAAGCUUCUUGCACGAAAGAGCAAUAGUAGCUGGCUGAUCUUUUAGCAUAUUUUUUCUACAAAUUUAUUUUAAAUUAAUUUUCCUCGUCCGGCUAUUUUCAGUAUCGUUCUUGUUUAUAUAUAUAUAUAUUGUAUGUAUUUGUGAAGUGUAGUUGUCAAAGGUUUAGCUUCUAGUGUGAUUGUCAGAGUGAAGCUUUUGACCUGACCUGUCUUGUCUUUGUUCGUAACAGGUAAUUCCACUUGUCUUCGAUUUUGCCUUUUCCUUCUCUUUUUUGACGUCAUUAUUGAUUAUCUUAAAUAAAAAUGGGUCUUUUAAUGGUGGACUUUCCUCUGAUGUGUGUCCUUAGCAUCAUCAAUACUAAACUUGUCUUGCACGAGGAUAGACUUGGGAUUCAGCCGAUCAUGUUUCAGAUUUUCAGUAACAGUGACCGAUUUGGAUUGCGAUUAUUUAUGUUUUUAAAUGUUUUUUAAAAGUGUUUUUAUUUUAAAAUAUUUUAAAAUAAUCUUUUUAAUUUUUUUUUACUUUUAAUAAAAGCUUAUCAAAAUAAUUAUAAAGCAAUUAAAAAAAAUUAAUUUAAUAAAAAUAAAUAUACUUAUGAAAUCUAUUCAAACAUAGUUAUAAAUAUGAUGUAGAAUAGAUAUUUAUAAUUCAAGUCAGGUUUAAAAAAGAAAUUAAUUUAGAAUUAACACGGCCAAAACGCUAUUGGGCAAAAAUUGAAAAUUAUUUUUGUUUAAAAUUUAUUUUUUUAGGUUUUUUUUCUAGUUUUGAUGUGAUAAUAUCAAAAAUAAAUUUUAAAAAAUAAAAAAAAUAUUAUUUUAAUAUAUUUUUUAACAAAAAAAAUACUUUGAAAAGUAAGAUCUACCACAAUAACAACCACUACCUUAAUUGACAUGGUUAAAAUUUAAAAAAAUAUAUUUAAAACAAUGUUGUUAUUUAUUAUUCUAGGUUUACUUACGCAACCAAUAAAUCGAUAAACCAAAUCUUAAGUUGGGUCGGAUUUAAAUAAUUUUCUUCUCAUACAUGUUAUAUAUAUGAGAUCACAUCUAAUGACUAUCAUUAGAAGUUGAUAUGGUUUCAAUGACUAUUUUAAAGCAAAUUAAAAACUUCUGAAAUAAUUAAAUAAAACUAAAAAUUAAGUUCUGUCUCAUCCACAUCUAUAUGUGUGUGUGUUUUUGCAGACCUUGGAUUUAAAUUUUAAUAAUUAAUAUUGAUUCCCUUCAAGUAUGGCAUUAUCUCUUAAAUAGCAACUAGCAAUUAAAAACACCGUGGGCUCCGAGCCUGUUACUAUGGGCAUCCACCGAUCCCAGACUCAUCUCCGCAUAUGAAGAAUUAUAAUGAUUGUGAAUAAAAAAAGAAAAAGAAAUUGAUUUGAUGUUUAAGGAUAUUUAUUUAUUUAUUAAAUUGAUUUAAGAAUAUCCCAAUUUCUCAGAAAAUAAAAUAAAAAUUUCGUGUGGAUAUUCGCAAGUUGGACUUGUAUUACUAAUUUUUAUGAAUUAGACUUAAUUAGAACUUAUUGUUGAUGAUCAAGACGUAUCUGUUGUGGUUCUCAGGAAUCCUCUGUAGAGUGCUAUAUUAUCAUCACAGUCAGGAAUGCAUGUCACGAAGAAUUGGAUGUUGGAAACUAGCACGAUGCUUAACAGGAUUUGGAGUACACAUGAAACUGCAGAUUUUAUGGGCUAAUAAAGUGCCGUUUUAGAAAUUCAACAGACAAAUCAUCAUUUGACUGAGCUGGGAAGUAGGACAUUAGUUUGAAUUCAGCAUCAAGAAGGGAAGAGACCUUCCAUUGCUAGGUUCUCAAGCAUUUUCUGUGGAAAAGUGCUCAAGGCAUGCAUUUGAAAGAACUCUAAGAAAUGAGGGGAAAGAAACUAUAGCAUGACUCGUAUAUUCGGCUUCUAGUCCAUGGAGAAGAACAUCUUAAAAUAGAUGUUGGCAGAACAAACCAGCAAACAAUCUUCAAAGAAAGCACUUUAGCAGUUUUGAUAAGUUUAUGGUUUUCGUGUUUAGUGCAGAUCGGUGAAGACCGUGACGUACGAGUCAUUGAAUAAUGUGGCGAGGUUGAUAAAUGGAGUGUCAGCCAUUUUGUCGACUCUUCUACCUGGGAAGGCUAAUGUUCUUGAAGAUGUUCAUGGCUGCGAGCUUAGGCCUACUUUUCAUGGACCUCGAUUGCCCCGUUGGAUACAUAAGUAAUUUUCUUUUUUAACUCUAUCAGCUCUUGAUGUUUGCACAACAAAUUUAAACAAGUUCCUUCCCAACAAUUGGAUUUGUAAGCAACAAGACAUUGAUGCUAAUCUGGCAAUUUGAAUCUGUAAACCAAGAUUCUACUUUGAUGCAUCCAACCUGAGAGAACCUAGCUAGGUAGAGAUGUGUAUACGCCAGCUUUAUGAUUAUUUUUCUCAUUCAAACCUCUUCUAGCUGAGACCCGUCCUAGCCUUGACUAGACUAUGUCUCAUGAGGUUUAGCCGGGUUGGUUAUGUUUCAUAUCUGGUUAAACUAAGGAUUAGCAGGCGCAUGCAUGGGUUUUAACUUUUAACAGUGUUUGAUGUGCCGCCAUGAAGAAGGUAGACGAUGACAUGAUGUGAAAUGCAUAAAGAAGAUUCCCACAUCGAGAAAACAUAAGACGUGGGGCAAGGCAUGGGAAUAUAAAUAGGAAGCUCAAAGCAACGGGAAACAUACUUACCUGGACGGGGUCGAUGGGCGAUCAGGAAGGUCCAUGGCCUAGGUCAGUGACGUCCAUUGCACUGAGGAUGGGUGCUGGCUUAAGGUCUCCCCAAGUGGGAGAUCCUACGUCAAAAUUUGUGGCAGAGGGGGCUGCGCAAGUCGCGGCCCCUGUCCAAUUCUAAUAUCAAACAUUUUGCUAUGAGUCUUUCUAAUUUGAAGCCUCAUCUGAACUUGUUCGGCGCCGGAGAUAGUAGCUGAGGCUCCGAGCAUUGAGAGUAGAUGUUGCGUUGAUCAUAGAAACAUUGGACACUUGAAGAAAUGCGAUGCCUGAGAUAUCGAUCAGGAAUAAUUAAUUAAGACCAAAAAAGAAGUCUGUCUCAUCCACCUGCAUAUAUAUCUGUGUGUUUUUUGUGAUGUGAUAAUGUCUAACAGCUUUUCUUCUUCUUUUUUGCAGACCUUGGAUUUAAAUUUUAAUAAUGGGUGUGCUUGGAUGAAAAUAAUUUUUAAAAUAAAAAAUUAUUAAAUUCAAUGAAAAUAAAGAAAUUCAAGAUCCAAAUUGCAUAUUGGCUAGUUAACUUAAUUAACUCUUCUUUUUUUUUUUAUCGAUUUUCUUAUCUCUAGUUUCACAACACUAUGAUUAAGUUUUUAAUAACAUAAUAUACUAUCAACGGGACUUUGUUUGAUCUCACAACACUAUGAUUAAAGUUUCUUAAUCCAUCGCACAAGCCCUUUGUUAAUAUAUACAGAUACACAGAGCAGAAAAGCCUCCGCAUCAGGCUCCUAUAAGCCAUGCUCUCCACCUCAAGGCACAAAAACCAUGUUCUCCGCCUCCUUCUUCACCGAUUCGAAAAGCACGGAGGAUAGGUAACGCUCCCCAAAGCUAGGGAAGAUCGUCUGUUUACAUUAGAAAAAAUGGUAAGACGCACAGAACAAAACACCAACAAAGGCCAAGCACUAGAAGGUAUUCAGAAAGAUACGGCAUGUGCUAAACGCAAUGCUGCUAAGCUUUGCCAAAGAAUAUGGUACUUAUCAUCACUAUUACCGUGCUUGAAGAUUUUCUAUCACCUAUAAUCGUUCAAGAACAUUCAUUAUUUGAAUAGAUAAUUUCAUCAUAAAAAAUAUCAAGGGAAAUGGUUGCUAGAUUGGCAAUGAACUUUACUAUUUGGAAACAAAUUUGUUUCAUCUAAGGGAUAGCUUUGGGCAGCAGGCUCACUAGCAAGUUGCAGAUGGAUCUACUUCAAAAGGAAGAAAAUCAAACUUACAACAAUGAGUUUUCCAGCAUUUUCAGGCCUCUUUGCUAUCUCAAUGGCAGCAGCUGCAGCAGCUCCAGAUGAUAUCCCCACCUGAAAUCCAAAUGAUGCCCUCAAAAGAAUUCUUGAUUAAAGUCAAACCCAGAAAAUAUGAUCCAGUUAACAGAGUGGAGUGCUGUAGAGUUCUGGGUUCCUUCUUGCAACAAAUAUCAAAUAAUUGUAAGCUUACCAGCAAUCCUUCUUUCAAGGCAAGAAGCUUUGCAGUUUCAAUGGCUUCUUCACUUGAUAUCUGCAAAGUCAUUUAACGAUCCAGUCUCUCAGGUAGCAGUGCAGCAAGGCAAUCAAAAGGAAGAAAAAAAAAACAAACGGUAUUUUCUCUUAAAGAAUAAAUCAGAGCAUGCGACAAAGAUUAGACUUGAGGAACUUGGAUUUGUAUAUGAUGGAGUUUUAGGAAUACGUUUUGGGAAUUAUGUAAGAGAACACAGACUUACUUGAACAGUUUCAUCAAGUAAACCGACAUCCAAAACUCCAGGGAUGAAGCCAGCGCCAAUUCCCUGGAUCUUAUGUGGACCUUGGAUCCAUUCCAGAAAACAAUGAUAAUGUUAGUCCAAUCAUGAAUACAUGGAAAAGGCAGCUGUUUCAAGAGGACAGAAUCAUAUGGGACAUGUCCAAUUGUGGAAAAUGUUGUGCAAGGUUUUGAAUAUCCAUCUUAAAGGAAUGCAAGACAGAUGGCUUAGAAGUUCCAACAACUAUUGGGGAAUUAUUCAAACAUAAAACAACGUAACUCCUAAUGCAUAUACUUUUCUAAUCCGACAAAGUAAAAGUCGAAAGGAUUAGACCAGGAUCCUAUAUCCAUAGAAUCAGUGAGCUUUAUUAUUUGUUUUAGCGUAUGAAAACGGUUGGAUCCAUAGAAUCAAUGAGCUUUUGCAUAACUCUAAUCACUGUUUAAUUGGACUGUAUAGUUUGUGAUCAAGUUUACAACAUUUGAAUUGUAGGUUCUUGGAAAAGAACAAAAGCAAAUGAAUGUCCAAGAAACCAUGACUCACCAGGUUUCCCUCCAGACAGCACUGCACUUUCAACUGGUUCUACACCAUAAAUCUAAACACGAAAAGGAAAGAACAAACGCCAAGAUAAGAAACAAUAGAAAUAAUAAAGAAACUAUCAAUACCACAAAAAAAAAAAAAAGACUUCCACUCCAAGUCAAGCAAUGCGGAGAAGUAAACCUUUAUAUCAGGGUUUUGUUCCUUGAGAUACUUCCCUGCACCUGUUAUUGUUCCCCCAGUCCCUAUCCCAGAAACAAAGGCAUCAACUUUCCCACCUGACCCUUUCCAUAUCUCUGGUCCAGUUGUCUCGUAGUGAAUCUGACCAGGCAACAUCAGUAUGAUUGCAAUUCUCUCAAAUCAGUAAGUCAGAAAACGUGCGAAAUGAAAACAAAUGGCACCUUUGGGUUGGCAGGAUUUUCAAAUUGUUGCAGAAGAUAAGCAUUAGGUGUCUUUGCCAAUAUCUCUUCAGCCUUCUGAACAGCCCCCUUCAUGCCCCUGGCAGGAUCAGUAAGGAUCAACUCGGCUCCAAAAGCAAGGAGAACCAUUCUUCUCUCUAGACUCAUUGAAGCAGGCAUGGUAAUGAUCAGUCUGUAGCCCUUAGCAGCUGCCAUGAAUGCCAGCCCUAUGCCAGUGUUGCCACUCGUAGGCUCAAUCAGGACACUCUUCAGCAUUAAGAAAGAAA